UACGAAGGUGGCAAGCGUUGUUCGGAAUCACUGGGCUUAAAGCGCAUGUAGGCGGCCAUGCAAGCGUCUUGUGAAAUCCCCCGGCUCAACCGGGGAAUUGCUGGGCGGACUGCACGGCUUGAGGCAGGUAGGGGUGCGUGGAACUCUAGGUGGAGCGGUGAAAUGCGUAGAUAUCUAGAGGAACGCCGGAGGCGAAAGCGGCGCACUGGGCCUGUCCUGACGCUGAGAUGCGAAAGCCAGGGGAGCAAAC
rnacentral:rRNA from 1 species